rnacentral:rRNA from 1 species
AUGGCGCACCGCUUGUCUGAUGUUGGUUUGGCUGCCUCUCAUGCUGAAAGCAAGGUUUCACCUUGCCGACAGGCUGAUGGUUCUCCAAGUGCUGAAGUAAUGGGGCCAGAGGUUAGCCUUCCAGAGGAUAUCAUUUGGAAGAUACAUGCCCUUAUGCCUAUUCAAGAUGCCGCUCGUGCUGCCUGCUUGUCUCAUGAUUUUCUUCACUCUUGGAGAUGCUAUCCCAAGCUCAUAUUUGAUAUGAGAGCACUAGGCAAACAAACAAGGGAUUUUAUCAACAUAGUUGACCACAUCAUGCGGAAUCACUCUGGCGUUGGGGUGAAGACAUUUAAAUUGCAAACUCGCGAUGAGUUCACUGUGCAUCCAAGUUAUCUUGAUCGCUGGCUGCAAGUUGCAAUUAUACCUGGGAUCACAGAAUUUACGCUAGGGCUCCCCAUAAAUAGCAAGAUGAAAUAUUACUUUCCUGGUUCACUUCUAUCUCCUGAGGCAGCACACUCAAUCUAG